UUUUUUGUUUUCGUUUUUAGACAACCCGCAUUUGGGGCGAUUCGCUCACUCCUCCCCGCUUCUCCCUGGCUUCCGCUUCCCACGCACGAGAAGAUCAUAUCCACAUUCGUCGUUCGAAACCCUAACCAUGGACGAGAACCCAAUUCCACGUCCCAUUUACGCUUUAAUCAGGACAAAAAAUGGAUACAUUUUGUAUGGUGUGGAGCAUAAUCAACAUUCUGGCCAGGUUUUUACCUAAUUUGUUAGGUUGGGCUUGGAUCAGAGUUUUAGUAGUCAGCCCCAGCCGACAUCAUCUUAGCUAAUUGGCUUUGCUCUCGUCCUGGCCAUGUAGCUAGCUAUAUCCUAGUGCUUUUUGGGUUUGUCUUAUCUAAAGGUGGAUAUAUGGAGUAAAAAGCAGCAUAAACUAUUAGAUGUCACCAACCUGAAGAGGUAGUUUGUUUCGUAUGACCAUAUAUAUAUGGAAGCCAGUCAUUGUUGUCAUAAAGUACGGCUCGUCAACCUCGAUGAUUCUGCCAUCACUUCCGAUGCAGGGAUUCCUCAAGAAGUACUUAUAAGCCUCGUCAGCCAUUUUACCAAUUGUUAUUGGAUUCCUUGUUGAAGAGCUUAUCUGGUAGAUGAACGCCGAUGAUUCAUUAUAGCUGCUGGCUAUGAUUGUGAGCAUUGCAUUUACUACAAGGUCUCCGGGAACCUGUAAAGUUUUAUGACUGUUAACCUCACAUACAAGCUUGAAGAUUUACAGAAUAAGGAAUAGGUAUGUAACUAUGUAAGAAACAUUACACACUUCCCUUUUUGUUUUCAAUGAUACACUUUUAUGUGAAUAGGCAUAUAGAUUUUAAGUGUCAGCUUUUCAUUUAAUGGCCUCUAAGGUUCCUAAACUGUUUUAUUAGAAAUGGUUAGAUCAUGUAUUUCCUAUAAAUCUAUUAGGAAAAUAGAGAGCAAUGGUCACCUCUGCACGAAAGAUGUUUAACAAAAUGACUGAAAGGACAUCGUCAUCUUCAGCUCAGUUCCGUUCUAACAUUUUCAAUAUGCAAGCGCAUCAUGUCAGGUUUGAAUAUUUUUAUGGCUAAACUUUUGUUGUAAAAUUUGUUACAAAUUUGCUCACUAUCGUCCAUUCUUGGUGCAUUAUGGCUCCUUCGCGUAAGAUUUCCCGUUUCUCAAUAAAAAUGUGUAUUUGAAAGUUUCUGUUGGAUGGUUGUUUGCUUACUUCUGUACAUGUUUAAUACCAAUUAGAUCUUUGUUGUUUCCCAUAUCAGGUUCAUGUGGUUGCAGAUGCUGUUCCAUGUAUUUAAUUGGAUAUUUUUAGGAGAGUUUCUUGUGGCCUGUUUGUAAUGUUUUUUUUUUUUUUUCAGGUUUAUUGAUUCAUACUAAUAACACUUCUUUUAUUGUUUAGAAUGUUUUGUAAUUGCAUUUUUGUUAGCAGUUAUGCUGCUUCAUGUUUUACUGAUUGGGGGAUGAGCUGUCUCUCAACUCUCAAGUAACUGGAAAUGGUUCCUUCCACGUACUGGUAACUAUGGUUGGACGCAAUAUAACAAGAGGAAGGUGCCGCCUUAAGUCAUAGGAAAGCAUCUCUCCCAUUGCUUUUGUAAAUGUCGCCAUCUCUGCUUCAAUGUCAAGGGCCUUCACAGCUGAAAGUGGCUGUUCUAACAUGACACCUUGAUUGUCUGGCGUAACGUAAGCUGAAGGACAGGUGCUACAGUAAGCUCAUACUGGUGAAAAAUCAUAGAUCAUGCAUCCAGUAAGGAGGAUCAAAAAAAUUGAAAUUUUAAGUUUGAAAUCAAUAUUCUAAUUCUUAACAUUAUAACAUGAAUUAAUUUUGAGUGUUUGUAGCCAGUAAUAACCAACCAUUACUACUGUUGAUAUCUUAUAUAUUUCUUUCUGUCCUCAAUGGCGGCACGUUUGAAUAGGCCUAAAAUUUUGCUCAUUAGCUAUUUUAUCUGGUGUUUCCCGCCAGACUAGAUUAUUCCUUUUAGCAGUUCUUAUCAGAAUUCUAUCACACCGUCCACAGAAAAUGAUCUGUUCGCUGCUUUUAGAAUACUGGGUGGCAUUUGCUUAUUAUGCAGGGUAUAUGGGUACCGCAGCAAUCACCUCAAAAUCCAACAGAAAAUCGGUGGUUCAUCUUGCAUGUAAGGACUACUUCCAACAUACUUGCAGUUGGAGGGUCUUUGUCUCACUAACAUCUAGUUCAUUGUUGUUUAUAAUGUUUAAAGAACCAAAUGAUCAAAUUUUGAAGUUCCUGCAGAAGGGUAUUCUUCAACGUUUUCUCUUGUUACUUUUUUGCUUUUAUUCUGUUACUUUUUACUGGUACACAAGUAGAGCCACACUGGUCUCUAACAUAAAAGUACCUUUAAUAUGGUGCCGUAAAUAGAUGAGGAACAACUUUUUGGCGCUUACCAGUUGAAAUAUGGAGCAGCAUCUUCAAUUUCGGACAUCUCAUUGCAAAUGCCGAAAUAUGCUUUACUGCAAAUGUGUUGAUGCCCAAAGCUGUAUCAUACCUAUUGAUAUUUCAAAACAAAAUUAUCUGUGAACAACAUGAAUGAGUUCACGUGGAAAGGUGCCAUGCAAGUUUCUAAAGCUUGGAAACUUGUUGCCACCAAUUGUGGCGGAUAUGCAGAAGAAAAUUGCAAGGAUUUACAUUUCCUUCCUGUCAGAAAAAGGGAUCAAGAAGCAGAAAUUAGUGGUCAUCAUAGUGUUUAUUACCUUUCGUUGAAGUCCGUGUUUGCUGCUACAUGGACGAUGACAUUAAUUUCGUCCCAGAGGGUUUCUUUAAGUUUGUCAUCUUGUAUUCCCAAAUCUUCAAAGGUAACGUCUCCUGCCAAAGGGCACACUUUGUCCCAGAAGUAUGAAGGAAAGUUUCCUUGGCAUUUCUCUUCCAGAACUUUAAAUACCUCAGUUUGCAUAACCUACAAGUUUAGAGGUAUUACAAUGCAGAUGACACAAUCCCGAAGGAGAAGCAAUAUUAGCAACGACAGUUGGAUGACAGGCAUGAUGCUAACCUCAGUUUCCACACGGCGCUUUGCCGAAACAUGAUCAGCUGCGCGCACCAACAGGUAGUUUGCUACGCUUUCCGGCUGCAUGGUUAUGAGAAACAGGAAAAGAGAAGCAAGUAAAAUAUGUCCACCUGAAUUUGAAUACCUUCUAUGUAUGUUUGCGUAUAUAUAGACAAUGCUGUUAUAUGUCAAUUAUCAAGCUGGUCAUUGUGCAUUUAUUGAGGAUCGAAAUUGCAACAUAAUGUUUAUGCUUUCAAGGUGGGUUUGAGAUA